rnacentral:lncRNA from 1 species
AGGACAUCCAGGAGUUCGGGUACAACCGCGUGACAGGGUUCAUGUGGCUGGUGCAGGGGAAGAAGAAGGUGGAGCACACCUUCAAAAAGAUCAAGCAGACCGUAUCGUAUGCCGCUGAGGUGACGGCAUUCGCCGAGAAGGGCAAGCUGAGGAAGAUCACCGGCGUGAAGACAAAGGAGCUGAUGUUCUGGCUCAGCGUCGUCGAGGUGUACGUCCCCGAGGCCUCGCUAGAGAAGGUUACCUUCAAGACUGGCACUGGCCUAUCCGACACCUUCGAUGCCUCUGCCUUUGCGCUGGGAGAGUAAUUACUCAUAAAAAUGGUUGGCUUCAAAAGACAUGCAUAAUCUAUCUUUUGUAUUUGUAAAUUUUUCAUAUAUCUUGAGACGAGUUUGUGGUACUCAUGGGCGAUGCCCAUUGAAACAUUUCUAUGUACUAGGUCAGUACCCGUGCGUUGCAACGGGAACAUAUAAUAUCAUGAUAACUUAUAUACAAAAUGUGUCUUAUAUUGUUAUAAGAAAAUAUUUCAUAAUCCAUUUGUGAUCCUAGUCAUACCUAAAUUUUGUUAUUUUAAUUUAAUUGUUUCACUACUACAUUGCAACCAUCAGUAUCAUGCAGACUUCAAUAUAUGUCAUGAUUUGCAUGGUCUCAUUAUUGGAGAGCACGUGCCACACCUGCCGGUAGAAGUUCCGUCGUACAUCGUUAGUCAUCAGGCACGCACCAUCAUACACGCUUGCUUAAACAAAAAAUGCAAGUGUGUGUUUGCGAAGAGAAUUAAAGGCAGGCCGACACAAAAGGUACCCCGACGAUGGCGAGUGGUCAUUGUUGUCGGUCCACCUCUGCUCACCUCCGGUGUCGAGAUGACACCACAAUCCUUGAUAUAAUAGUCGUCGAACGCGCGCGAUAUGGUGAGUACCGAUCACUCUUGGUUGAGCUGCCAAAUGAAGUGCACCCCGGGCUCAUUAGCGAGGUAGUACACCUGGUCGUUGCACCACCGGAUGUGCUACUACUCUACAUACAUCUUGUUCGAGAACACUCACACAACAACAACAAUGGUCAUCAUUCCAGCGCACAAGAAUUCAUGGUCGGUCAGUAGCGACUUACGUGGCAGGUUAGACUUCAGGUGGAUGAUGAGCUAGACGGCGUGAUGGCGUCGUCGUAGGUUGCGAUGCCCAGAACAACCCGAGAGUCGUCGACAUUGGCGACGACCAUGAGGUCCCUAUGUUUGACGAUGGACAGCGCUGUGCAGCCGCUCUGGACCACGUCCAAGCAGCGGCUGCACCGGAGCUUGCCGUACACAGCGGCGCAUGGGCCAUGUAGGACUGCUUCCAGAGUUCGAACUGGCAGGCGCCAAGUUUCUUCUCGUCGUCGGUGAGCGACGCCAACGCGAGCGCCUCGUGCUAGUGGUGUUUGUUCGGGGUUUCCAAGUAAGAAACAUGGAUUCAUCUUUGGCAUUGGUUUAUGAAAAUGAUUUAUAAGUUAGAUCCAUGGAAAAAUAUUAUGGAGAAUAAAUGUUACACAUGCAAAAAAAGUAUUUAAGUUGAAAACAUUAUUCAAACAAAAAAAAUUGCAUGCAAGGCUCUUCUUUAAAUACUACUCUCUCAAUCCAAAAAUAUAAUUUAAUAAUCUCGGUGAUACUUAUCUACUACUACACAUUGUGCAAUGGUAGUAGGUGGGCUUCGGGAGAGAUGUAUUAUAUGUUUUUACUAUAAUAGAUAUAGACAUAAACACACAUGUGGUGUAGUGGUAGCUACAAACACAUUUAUUUGAGAGGUCGUGGGUUCGAAUCCCCUUGGAGCCUGUUUUUUUAAUUUAAUUUUAGCUAGGCGUGGGAUGCACGUGAGAAUGAGAAUAGGCUUUGUGGGAGGGGGAAUGAGAAAGACUGAGAAAGACAGGCAGCUGAGAAUGAGAAUGGGCUUUGCAGUGAGGACGAAAUGGGAAUGGCAGAACACGGAAUGUGGCAGCCUACCUCUUACCGUCUUAAUAGGUAGUAGAGAUUUUCUUAUUUAUCAGAUAGUUUUUUCUAAAUAUCUCACUUCAAAACAUUAAAAAUAAAUGUCCUCGUAGUCAUAGAUGAGUUCUUAUAUUGGAGCAGAUGGCUUUGUAUUUAUAACGGGGCUUAUGUCCUUCGUAUUUAUUACGAAGGGUAAUAUUGUGUUCAAAAGUUGCCAGUACAGCUACAUCUAAGGCCAGAUACAUACUUGCAAGUACUAUAAAGUGUGUGAGGCUACAACACUUACCAACUAUGCUGGAUAUGAUAACGUAGGAUAUUAAUAUAGUUAAGCUUGAGGCAGUAGGUGUACUGUGAGUACUAUGCAGUGUGUGCACCUAUAGCAACUACCAACGACCCUUACGAUACAACAACUACGUUAAAAUUGGAGUAGCUAGACUUUUGGUGGGUGAAACCCGCCAUUGCCAUCGAUGCACGAAUGUAACUCUCCUCUCCCUUGUGCUAUAAAGAGUCGUAGAGGAACGUAGAAACAAGACAUGUCUGUAUUUAGGUUACAAAGGUUGCAUCCAAGUGUCAUGAUCAGAGCUGAAAAUACACUAGAGUCACAACUUGCAAGGUCUACUAUAGGUUGCAGCCGCCAAAGUCUAGAAGUGCAUAUGUUUCUAGUUCCUCUCGGUAGCUCGGUUAUCAACUAAAUAUGUAAGAUCUUUAGUAUUUGCAUCUAUACAUCUACCAUAAAAGAUUUAGGGUAUUACCCUUUGGUGGCCUAAAACUAUUUAUAUGAUACAUGUGGAAAUUGUCGUGAUGGCGUUCUAUUGCUACACCUUCGUCUAUGAUUUUCUUUGGUACCUUUGGUACCAUGGUGUCGCAUCCCAAUCAUAGUAGCCAUCUGAUCCAAUUAAAUAAUCGGCUCACAAUCAUUUGGGUGUACCACAACAAAGAAGCUAUGUCAAGGUCAAAGCAUACAAGAUUUGCUAAAGGGGAGAGGUUUUGAAACAAAAUGCCAACAUCUAACCUAUUAAUUGCCAUAGCACUGAAGCUGGGCAAAGAUUUUUUUUAAUGUCUGAUUCGCACUCUCUAACUCUUCAAGUCACAGUCUAGCCUGUUCGCUUGGCUUUAAUAUGUAUCGUCUUUUACUAUUUUUACAGUGUUUUUAUCUCUAUGGCUGCAUCAUUGUUGUCUCCUGGCAAAGGCUAAAACCAAUGUUUUUCAGUUAAAAAAGCUUCCAAUGCAUAUUUCUGCUUAUGUGCAUUUUAGACCACGCAUCCUGUAUUCCUGUUGCGUACAAAGGAACGCUUAUCAUUCAAGUUCAUGUACUAGUACAGGAUGUUUGCCGUCUUUUCAUGCAUGACGCUUAUAAAUGACUGCUAAGGCCUUGUUCGUUUCCAUCGGAUUGCACCCGGAAUCGUUCCAGCUAAUCAAAGUUUAUAUAAAUUAGAGAAACAAUCCAGUCAGGAAUUAUUCGGACCCACCAAUCCGAUAGAAACGAACAAGGCCUAAAACUGCAUGGGCUUCUUUAUCUGAAACUGUAGUUUUAUUAUCGCUGUUUGCAUAGUCAACAGCAUCCAAACAUUACAGAUAAUCUACCAUAAUAGGUAUGCAACUUUCUUAGGAAAAAAUGGCAGGUGCUCUGCCUUGUCAUUUAAGCAGGGAACGGAUAUUUACGUAGAGGGUUAUCACAUCACAUCAAACUGAUGCAGUUCUCAACAAAUAAAAGAAAAAAAAGGGACAGAAACGGCAGACCACAACAUGUCUGCGAUCUGCCCAUGCAUCAAGUGGUGAAAGUGAGUAUUGUCAAUCGCCCGUUGCGUUCUAGAGUCAGGUGAAGUGUCGCUUCGCGUUCGACAUUGCAGAGCCUACAGGUCUUGUUGGUACCCAGCCGCUUUUGAUUACUCCCUCCGUUUCUUUUUAUUUGUCGCCGAGUAGUUUAAAUUUGUACUAACGGACGACAUAUAUUAAGGAACGGAGGGAGUAUUUAGCUGCCGUGAGCAGCUUGUGUUGCAGUGCUAACCGUGGAUAAAAUUACUUUUUUACACCUUCGUUUUCCAAACUGAGUUCCAGUUGAAGGUGAUUCAGCAAGUAUGGGGGGAUUUUCUGAAGAAUGCUAUCAACUCUAGUUCAGUCAUAAGGGAGAAUGUGAUUCAGUAGAGUAAGAGUAUGCUUUGUUUGACCUCUCUACUGAAUUGUUCUAUUUUUGUUGGCUGGACUCCAGUGAUUCAUUCUGAUCCCAAAAUUCAGGAGCGACAAUCUUGACUUCGUUUGUCACAAAAGAAAUUCAGGUGUGGCAAUGUGGACUUUGUCAAAUUCGACGCUCUCUGCCAACGAAGUCAAAUAGGACUGCCCGCCCCGCGUUGCUUCUCUAUAGAAGCUGCAUGCCUAUAAAGAUGUGUUGCAGCUCCUUCUCCCAUCACACAAACAUUUCAUCGCCUCCUAAUUCCUAAAGCAGCAUCGGCUACUAGCCUACUACUACUGUCUCUUGCUCACACAGCUCGUCUGUGCAGCACAUAGCUAGUGAACGAAAACGACCAUGGCGUCCCAGGCCAUCGAGAGCCACCGUGCAGGCGCUGAGGUCGUCAAUGGAGGAGACGCCAUCUGCAGGAAGAAGUCAAUCGAGCUGCUGGAGGAGCUCGGCCUCCCCAAGGGCUUCUUGCCCCUCGAGGACAUCCAGGAGUUCGGGUACAACCGCGAGACAGGAUUCAUGUGGCUAGUGCAGGGGAAGAAGAAGGUGGAGGCGUGGAGCACACAUUCAAGAAGAUCAAGCAGACCGUGUCGUACGCCGCUGAAGUGACGGCAUUCGCGGAGAAGGGCAAGCUGAGGAAGAUCACCGGCGUGAAGACAAAGGAGCUGAUGAUCUGGCUUAGCGUCGUCGAGGUCUACGUCCCCG